rnacentral:rRNA from 1 species
GGAAACUGCGGGCCAGAGGCGGCGGUAAUUGGUGGGGUGGGGUCUUGUGCCGGAAUUCGUGGGGUUAAGAGGCUCGUAGGGGGUUUGGCGGGUCGUCUGGGAAAUUCCGGGGCUUAACUCCGGGUGGGCAGGCGAUACGGGCAUAACUUGAGUACUGUAGGGGAGACUGGAAUUCCUGGUGUAGCGGUGAAAUGCGCAGAUAUCAGGAGGAACACCGGUGGCGAAGGCGGGUCUCUGGGCAGUAACUGACGCUGAGGAGCGAAAGCAUGGGGAGCGAACAGGAUUAGAUACCCUGGUAUC